CGCCACAGUGGGCUCGAACCCAAGAGACAUUAACCCCUAAUCGUUUAACUUAUACACACACUACAUCCUUUAAUUUUGAUGCAAAACUAUGUUAGCCGUUAAUCGCACUGGCGAAUGAUCUGGAUUUGAUAAAACUUCAGUCUUCACAGCUUUUGAUUCUUGUUGUGCGUGUUAGUGUGGCGUGAGUUCAGUCGGGGCUAGGAGGGGUUGAAGCAGGGAGAGCGGCGACAGAGGCUGAAGGGCUGCUGCUGUCCGGAUCGAAGGAGAAGGGGGCGGCAAUUUUGCUGUUCGCCGUGGAAUAGAGAGGGAGACGGGAUCGUUGAUGGUGAGAAUCGGGAAGGCGGCGGAGGCUGCUGCCCGUUCCGAUGAGAGAACGAGGCAGAUGGAGGCGGUGGAGGGCGGCUGGGCGGCAGUGACAGUGAGCAUGAGGACUGAUGCUGUUGUCGUCGGAUGUGAGUGGGCGGCGAUUCUCGCCGCGAAUCGAGGGUGAAGCGGCGGCAGCCGUCGGCUGUUGUCGAGUGACAGGAA
rnacentral:lncRNA from 1 species